rnacentral:rRNA from 1 species
UUUACGGAGAGUUUGAUCCUGGCUCAGGAUGAACGCUGGCGGCGUGCUUAACACAUGCAAGUCGAACGGUGAAGCAGAGCUUGCUCUGUGGAUCAGUGGCGAACGGGUGAGUAACACGUGAGCAACCUGCCCCUGACUCUGGGAUAAGCGCUGGAAACGGCGUCUAAUACUGGAUAUGAGCUGCGACCGCAUGGUCAGCAGUUGGAAAGAUUUUUCGGUCUGGGAUGGGCUCACGGCCUAUCAGCUUGUUGGUGAGGUAAUGGCUCACCAAGGCGUCGACGGGUAGCCGGCCUGAGAGGGUGACCGGCCACACUGGGACUGAGACACGGCCCAGACUCCUACGGGAGGCAGCAGUGGGGAAUAUUGCACAAUGGGCGAAAGCCUGAUGCAGCAACGCCGCGUGAGGGAUGACGGCCUUCGGGUUGUAAACCUCUUUUAGCAGGGAAGAAGCGAAAGUGACGGUACCUGCAGAAAAAGCGCCGGCUAACUACGUGCCAGCAGCCGCGGUAAUACGUAGGGCGCAAGCGUUAUCCGGAAUUAUUGGGCGUAAAGAGCUCGUAGGCGGUUUGUCGCGUCUGCUGUGAAAUCCCGAGGCUCAACCUCGGGUCUGCAGUGGGUACGGGCAGACUAGAGUGCGGUAGGGGAGAUUGGAAUUCCUGGUGUAGCGGUGGAAUGCGCAGAUAUCAGGAGGAACACCGAUGGCGAAGGCAGAUCUCUGGGCCGUUACUGACGCUGAGGAGCGAAAGGGUGGGGAGCAAACAGGCUUAGAUACCCUGGUAGUCCACCCCGUAAACGUUGGGAACUAGUUGUGGGGUCCAUUCCACGGAUUCCGUGACGCAGCUAACGCAUUAAGUUCCCCGCCUGGGGAGUACGGCCGCAAGGCUAAAACUCAAAGGAAUUGACGGGGACCCGCACAAGCGGCGGAGCAUGCGGAUUAAUUCGAUGCAACGCGAAGAACCUUACCAAGGCUUGACAUAUACGAGAACGGGCCAGAAAUGGUCAACUCUUUGGACACUCGUAAACAGGUGGUGCAUGGUUGUCGUCAGCUCGUGUCGUGAGAUGUUGGGUUAAGUCCCGCAACGAGCGCAACCCUCGUUCUAUGUUGCCAGCACGUAAUGGUGGGAACUCAUGGGAUACUGCCGGGGUCAACUCGGAGGAAGGUGGGGAUGACGUCAAAUCAUCAUGCCCCUUAUGUCUUGGGCUUCACGCAUGCUACAAUGGCCGGUACAAAGGGCUGCAAUACCGUGAGGUGGAGCGAAUCCCAAAAAGCCGGUCCCAGUUCGGAUUGAGGUCUGCAACUCGACCUCAUGAAGUCGGAGUCGCUAGUAAUCGCAGAUCAGCAACGCUGCGGUGAAUACGUUCCCGGGUCUUGUACACACCGCCCGUCAAGUCAUGAAAGUCGGUAACACCUGAAGCCGGUGGCCCAACCCUUGUGGAGGGAGCCGUCGAAGGUGGGAUUGGUAAUUAGGACUAAGUCGUAACAAGGUAGCCGUACCGGAAGGUGCGGCUGGAUCACCUCCUUU